rnacentral:rRNA from 1 species
CCGCGGGAUUAGAGUUUGAUCCUGGCUCGAAUCAACGCUGGCGACGCGCUUAACACAUGCAAGUCGAGCGAGAAAGGGGAGCAAUCCCUGAGUACAGCGGCGUACGGGUGAGUAACACGUGGGUAAUCUACCUCUUAGUGGGGAAUAACCCUGGGAAACCGGGGCUAAUACCGCAUAAGCCUGCAAAGGGAAAGCAGCAAUGCGCUGGGAGAGGAGCCCGCGGCCGAUUAGCUAGUUGGUGAGGUAAUGGCCCACCAAGGCGACGAUCGGUAGCCGGCCUGAGAGGGCACACGGCCACACUGGCACUGAAACACGGGCCAGACUCCUACGGGAGGCAGCAGUGGGGAAUCUUGCACAAUGGGGGAAACCCUGAUGCAGCGACGCCGCGUGAGCGAUGAAGCCCUUCGGGGUGUAAAGCUCUUUCGGCAGGAACGAUAAUGACGGUACCUGAAGAAGAAGCUGCGGCUAACUACGUGCCAGCAGCCGCGGUAAUACGUAGGCAGCGAGCGUUGUUCGGAGUUACUGGGCGUAAAGAGUGUGUAGGCGGUGCUCUAAGUUUGGUGUGAAAUCUCCCGGCUUAACUGGGAGGGUGCGCCGAAGACUGGAGUGCUCGAGCGUGGGAGAGGAAAGCGGAAUUCCUGGUGUAGCGGUGAAAUGCGUAGAUAUCAGGAGGAACACCUGCGGUGUAGACGGCUUUCUGGACCAUUGCUGACGCUGAGACACGAAAGCGUGGGUAGCAAACAGGAUUAGAUACCCUGGUAGUCCACGCCCUAAACGAUGCAUACUUGGUGUCGGCCAUUCAGUUGGUCGGUGCCGGAGCUAACGCGUUAAGUAUGCCGCCUGGGGAGUACGGU